GACGAACGCUGGCGGCGUGCCUAAUGAAUGCGAGUCGAACGAGAUCCAGGUGGAGUCUUCGGACAAUACCUGGUGACAGUGGCGAACGGGUGAGUAACACGUGGGUAACCUGCCCUUCAGUCGGGCAUAACAGGGGGAAACCCCUGCUAAUUCCCGAUAUGCUUACGCGGCACAAGUCGCGUAAGGAAAGCUCCGGCGCUGAAGGAUGGACCCGCGGUCGAUUAGCUAGUUGGUGAGGUAACGGCUCACCAAGGCGAUGAUCGAUAGCCGACCUGAGAGGGUGGCCCCCCACAAUGGAACUGAAACACGGUCCAUACACCUACGGGUGGCAGCAGUAGGGAAUAUUGCAAAUGGGCGAAAGCCUGAUGUAGCAACGCCGCGUGUGCGAUGAAGGUCUUCGGAUUGUAAAGCACUUUUUGGAGGGAUGAGGAAGGACAGUACCUCCAGAAUAAGCCUCGGCUAACUACGUG
rnacentral:rRNA from 1 species